rnacentral:rRNA from 1 species
GAUGAACGCUAGCGGGAGGCCUAACACAUGCAAGCUGAGCGGUAGAGUUUCUUCGGAGACUUGAGAGCGGCGUACGGGUGCGGAACACGUGUGCAACCUGCCUUUAUCAGGGGGAUAGCCUUUCGAAAGGAAGAUUAAUACCCCAUAAUAUAUAGAGUGGCAUCACUUUAUAUUGAAAACUGAGGUGGAUAAAGAUGGGCACGCGCAAGAUUAGAUAGUUGGUGAGGUAACGGCUCACCAAGUCGAUGAUCUUUAGGGGGCCUGAGAGGGUGAUCCCCCACACUGGUACUGAGACACGGACCAGACUCCUACGGGAGGCAGCAGUGAGGAAUAUUGGACAAUGGGUUAGCGCCUGAUCCAGCCAUCCCGCGUGAAGGACGACGGCCCUAUGGGUUGUAAACUUCUUUUGUACAGGGAUAAACCUAUUUACGUGUAAAUAGCUGAAGGUACUGUACGAAUAAGCACCGGCUAACUCCGUGCCAGCAGCCGCGGUAA